UCGGCUUAGAGUUUGAUCCUGGCUCAGGACGAACGCUGGCGGCAUGCCUAAUACAUGCAAGUCGAACGAGUGCUUGCACAGUGGCGAACUGGUGAGUAACACGUGGGAAAUCUGCCCAGAAGCAGGGGAUAACACUUGGAAACAGGUGCUAAUACCGUAUAACAACAAAUCCGCAUGGAUUUUGUUGAAAGGUGUUCGUAUCACUUCUGGAUGAUCCCGCGGCGUAUUAGUUAGUUGGUGAGGUAAAGGCCCACCAAGACGAUGAUACGUAGCCGACCUGAGAGGGUAAUCGGCCACAUUGGGACUGAGACACGGCCCAAACUCCUACGGGAGGCAGCAGUAGGGAAUCUUCCACAAUGGACGAAAGUCUGAUGGAGCAAUGCCGCGUGAGUGAAGAAGGGUUUCGGCUCGUAAAACUCUGUUGUUAAAGAAGAACACCUUUGAGGUAAUUCAAGGGUUGACGGUAUUUAACCAGAAAGCCACGGCUAACUACGUGCCAGCAGCCGCGGUAAUACGUAGGUGGCAAGCGUUGUCCGGAUUUAUUGGGCGUAAAGCGAGCGCAGGCGGUUUUUUAAGUCUGAUGUGAAAGCCUUCGGCUUAACCGGAGAAGUGCAUCGGAAACUGGGAGACUUGAGUGCAGAAGAGGACAGUGGAACUCCAUGUGUAGCGGUGGAAUGCGUAGAUAUAUGGGAGA
rnacentral:rRNA from 1 species